UCACUGCUUGCGCAGGCAGUUUCGUUAGAGUCCCCGACAUAACUCGCUGGUAACUAACGACAAGGGUUGCGUUCGUUGCGGGACUUAACCCAACAUCUCACGACACGAACUGACGACAGCCAUGCAGCACCUCACUACGGGUCCGAAGAAGACUCCCUUUCAGGAGCUGUCCCGUAGCGUUCGAGCCUGGGUAAGGUUCUUCGCGUUGCAUCGAAUUAAUCCACAUGCUCCACCGCUUGUGCGGGCCCCCGUCAAUUCCUUUGAGUUUCAUUCUUGCGAACGUACUCCCCAGGUGGAAUGCUUAACGCGUUAGCUUAGGCACUAUCCCCCGAAGGGAUAACACCGAGCAUUCAUAGUUUACGGCGUGGACUAC
rnacentral:misc_RNA from 1 species